UACAUAGGGAGUGAGCGUUAUCCGGAUUUAUUGGGUGUAAAGGGUGCGUAGACGGGAAUUUAAGUUGGUUGUGAAAUCCCUCGGCUCAACUGAGGAACUGCAACCAAAACUGGAUUUCUUGAGUGCUGGAGAGGGAAGUGGAAUUCCUAGUGUAGCGGUGAAGUGCGUAGAUAUUAGGAGGAACACCAGUGGCGAAGGCGACUUCCUGGACAGUAACUGACGUUGAGGCACGAAAGUGUGGGGAGCAAAC
rnacentral:rRNA from 1 species